AUACUUACCUGGCAGGGGAGAUACCACGAUCACGAAGGUGGUUUUCCCAGGGCGAGGCUUAUCCAUUGCACUCCGGAUGUGCUGACCCCUGCGAUUUCCCCAAAUGUGGGAAACUCGACUGCAUAAUUUGUGGUAGUGGGGGACUGCGUUCGCGCUCUCCCCGG
ensembl:snRNA U1 U1 spliceosomal RNA